AACCUGCCCUGAAGCGGGGGAUAACAUCUGGAAACAGGUGCUAAUACCGCAUAACAACGAAAACCACAUGGUUUCGUUUCAAAGAUGGUUUCGGCUAUCACUUCAGGAUGGGCCCGCGGUGCAUUAGCUAGUUGGUAAGGUAACGGCUUACCAAGGCAAUGAUGCAUAGCCGAGUUGAGAGACUGAUCGGCCACAAUGGAACUGAGACACGGUCCAUACUCCUACGGGAGGCAGCAGUG
rnacentral:rRNA from 1 species